rnacentral:rRNA from 1 species
GGGUUCGUAGGCGGUAAUACAUGUCAGAUGUGAAAUCUUGUGGCUUAACCACAUCAAGCAUCUGAAACUGUAUAACUUGAGUGGAGGAGAGGUAAGUGGAAUUCCUAGUGUAGCGGUGAAAUGCGUAGAUAUUAGGAAGAAUACCAGUAGCGAAGGCGACUUACUGGCCUCUAACUGACGCUGAUGAACGAAAGCGUGGGUAGCAAACAGGAUUAGAUACCCUGGUAGUCCACGCCGUAAACGAUGAGUGCUAGGUGUCGGGAGUCAAAUCUCGGUGCCGUAGUUAACGCAAUAAGCACUCCGCCUGGGGAGUACGUGCGCAAGCAUGAAACUCAAAGGAAUUGACGGGGACCCGCACAAGCAGCGGAGCAUGUGGUUUAAUUCGAAGCAACGCGAAGAACCUUACCAGGACUUGACAUACUAGUGCCAAAUGUAGAGAUACAUUAUUUCUUCGGAACACUAAUACAGGUGGUGCAUGGUUGUCGUCAGCUCGUGUCGUGAGAUGUUGGGUUAAGUCCCGCAACGAGCGCAACCCCUAUGUUUAUUUGCCAGCAUUUUGGAUGGGAACUAUAGACAGACUGCCGAUAAGAAAUCGGAGGAAGGUGGGGAUGACGUCAAAUCAUCAUGCCCUAUAUGUCCUGGGCUACACACGUGCUACAAUGGUCGUUACAGAGAGCAGCUACACAGCGAUGUCACGCGAAUCUCAAAAAGGCGAUCUCAGUUCGGAUUGUACUCUGCAACUCGAGUACAUGAAGUCGGAGUUGCUAGUAAUCGCAAAUCAGAAUGUUGCGGUGAAUGCGUUCCCGGGUCUUGUACACACCGCCCGUCACACCAUGGAAGUUCGAGGGGCCCAAAGUCAGCGAUCUAACCGCAAGGAGGAAGCUGCCUAAGGCAAAUUGAAUGACUAGGGUGAAGUCGUAACAAGGUAACCGUA